rnacentral:tRNA from 1 species
GCGCCGGUGGCUCAAUUGGAUAGAGCACCUGACUACGGAUCAGGAGGUUACAGGUUCGAGUCCUGUCCGGCGUA